rnacentral:lncRNA from 1 species
CUGAACUGAACUGGGCUGAGCUAGGCUGAGCUGGGCUAACUGGGCUGGGCUGAGCUGAACUGGGCUGAGCUGGGCUGGGCUGAGCUGACUGAAUUGGGCUGAGCUGGGCUGGGCUGAACUGGGCUAAUCAGGUUGAGCUGAGCUGAACUGGGCUGGGCUGAGCUGAACUGGGCUGAGCUGGGCUAACUGCACUGAGCUCAGCUGGGCUGGGCUGGGCUGAGCUGACUGAAUUGGGCUGAGCUGGGCUGGGCUAACUGAGCUGGCUGGGGGGCUAGCUGGGCUGAGCUGGGCUGAGCUGGGCUAACUGAGCUGAGCUGGGCUAACUGAGCUGGGCUGGGCUGGGCUGAGCUGGGCUGAGCUAGGCUGAGCUGGGCUAACGGAGCUGGGCUGGCUGGGCUGAGCUGGGCUGAGCUGACUGAAUUGGGCUGAGCUGGGCUGGCUGAACUGGGCUAAUCGGGCUGGGCUGGGCUGGGCUGAACUGGGCUAAUCAGGUUGAGCUGAGCUGAACUGGGCUGAGCUGAGCUAACUGAGCUGAGCUGAGCUUGGCUGGCUGGGCUGAGCUAGGCUGAGCUGGGCUAACUGGGCUGAGCUGAGCUGGGCUGAGCUAACUGAAUUGGGCUGGGCUGGGCUGAGCUGGGCUUGCUGGGCUGAGCUGGGCUAACUGGGCUGAAUUGGGCUGAACUCAGCUGAGCUGGGCUAUGCUGGCCUGUGAGCUGAACUGAGGUGAUCUGGGUUAAGUUGCGCUGAAGUGGGCUGAUCUGGCCUGAGCUGGGUGAGGUGAAUGGGAAGGGGUUGGUCGGGAUGGAGCCCCACCUCAGGGUCCUGGUCUCCAGCCAGCCUGUUGACCCUGUUUCUUGGGGACCCAUGGGUCAGGCAGCCUCAGGGUGCAUCCGUGAUGCUCUCUCCCCCUUCACCAGUUGCCCUGAUGGGAACGGAAAGUACAAGUGGGCAGACCACGCCCUGUGUAGCCCAGCCUGCCCGGGCGGACAUCCCAGAAGGACUGAUUUAGAUUUGGGCCUUUGGCCUCGAAACUCCUGUAGGCCACAGAGGUCGACUUGGAGUUUGUUAGGGCCUGGGGUGGGAGGAGAGUGGUGGGUGGUUGGACUGGGACCUGGACUGGGGAAAUGGGAGAAGGCACAGAAGGCACAGGCCCCCUCUCCUCCCCAGAGUCACCUCCAGCACAGGCUCAGCUUCAAGUCAGAGCACUCUGUCAUCACCUGUGCCCUGCCAGGGGCCCAACCCCUCACGCCCCUGAGCCCUAGGGGAGGGUAUGGCUGUGCCGCCACCCAGACAGGAGCUGGGGCUCCGGCAGCAGUGGGAGAGCCAUGUGUGAUAACUACAACUUCUGCUGGGAGUGGCCUGUGCCAGAGGCCCUGUCCAAGGAGCGUGUCUGGGUCCACGUGCUAGAACUCUGAGGAGUGUGUUCAAAAACAGUGCAGCUGGACUCAGGAGGGUGGGUCCAACCCCAGGUCCAGGGUGUACGAGCUGCCUGACCUUGGGGCAGUCACUAACCCUCUCUGUGCCAGUUUCCUCUGGUGUAAAGGAGAGGCGGGCACCGUCCCAGCCUUGUGGGACUGUCUCAGGGGUCCAGGCCGCACGAGAGCCCGCCGUCUCACAGCACGUCUUGUGUUGCAGCCUCUGUGACCAGCCCCAGCAUCUUCCCGCUGAGCCUCCAGAAAGCUGACUCAGGUGACCCUGUGGUCAUCGCCUGCCUGAUCACAGGGCUUCUUCCCGCUGGGCUUCCCAGAGCCCGUGAAGGUGACCUGGGGCAAGAGCGGGGAGGUCAGGAACUACCCCCCCUUGGAGGCCGGGGGCCUGUACACCGUGAUCAGCCAGCUGUCCCUGUCCGGCCAACCAGUGCCCAGAUGACGCAUCCGUGAAGUGUGAAGUACAGCAUUACACCAGCCCCAGCAAGUCUGUGGACGUGCCCUGCAUAGCUCCAGUACGCCCUCCACUCCCUCCAUGCCCCUGUGAGUGCCCCUUGUGUCCAGCCUGCCGCGCCUGUCCCUGAGCCCGCCGGCCAUCGAGGACCUGCUCCUGAGCUCCAAUGCCAGCCUCACCUGCACACUGAGAGGCCUGAGAGACCCCAAGGGCGCCGCCUUCACCUGGAGUCCCCUCGAGUGGGAACGUCCCUGUCCUGCAGGAACCCAAGCUUGAACCCAGCGGCUGCUACAGCGUGUCCAGCGUGCUGCCAGGCUGCGCCGAGCCGUGGAGCAAAAAGGAGACCUUCUCCUGCACCGCCAGCCACCCUGAGCUCAAAGAGUCACAAACUGUCUCCAUCACCAAACCCACAGAACCCUUGUUCCAGCCCCAGGUCCACGUGCUGCCGCCGCCGUCGGAGGAGCUGGCCCUCAACGAGCUGGUGACGCUCACGUGCCUGGUGCGGGGCUUCAGCCCUAAGGAGGUGUUGGUGCUCUGGCUGCAAGGGCACGAGAAGCUGCCCCGCGAGAAGUACCUGGUCUUUAAGCCCCUGCGGGAACCUGGCCAGAGCGUGCCCACCUUUGCCGUGACCAGCCUGCUGCGCGUGGAGGCUGAGGCCUGGAAGAGGGGAGACGUCUUCUCCUGCAUGGUGGGCCACGAGGCUCUGCCCCUGAGCUUCACCCAGAAGUCUAUCGACCGCCUGUCGGGUAAACCCACCCACGUCAACGUGUCCGUGGUCAUGGCGGAGGCGGACGGCACCUGCUACUGAGCUGCCCCCGCCUGACCCUUGAAUAAACUCUAUGCUCGCCCAAAGCAGCCCGCGCUUCCAUCUGGCCGCCUGUCUGUCUGUCCUCGGGGUCUGCGGCAUGCCAGGGAGGUGGCAGGGCCCAGGGAGGAAAGAACACCCCGCUGCCCUGACCCUCUCAGGACCUCAGUUUCCCCUGUUGGCCUGGCACCUCGACGUACCUUCACACGGUGUACUUGUGUGAGUGUGUAAGCAUGAGUGUGAGCACGUAAUGCAUGGUAGUUGAAGCUGAGCUGGGGGUGAAACCUGAAGAUGGCAGAGGCAGGCGAGGCUGUCCGAGCCCGUGGGUCCUAAGAGCAGUGGGCACCAUGGGAAGUUCCCAUGGGCAGGUGACGUGGUCCUUCAUAUCUCAGAAAACUGACUCUAGGGGCAGGUGGGAGGGACUAGAAAGGGGGAAAGGAGAGCAGGCUGGCUGGGAAGAGGCUGGUGCCAUCGUGGGAGUCAUGGGAGGGAUGGUAAGGGAAGGAGGGCUGGACUUCAGGGCCCCUGCACCGCCCCUCAUGAGUACAAGGUGCAAAAGAGCAGGACGGCCCCACUGACUCACACAUAAGGGGCACCACCCCCGUCCUGGGCACAGCCUUCCCCAUUCGCAUCACACCACUCUGCAUGUGUGCCCACAGGUGCAUACACACAUGCACACAUAUGCUCCCACGUGCUCACACUCACUAGUGCACACACACAUCAGGGCCCUGCAGGCACAGGAAGUUCACAGCGCAGGCCCAGCUCCAGGAAGGCAAGGGGAGUCCCCACCCAAGCCCCCACUGGUUUUUCUCCAGGCCCAGCGCUGCUGCCCCAUGCCCCUCCUGGCCUCGGGCCUCCCUGUGUGUCCAGCUGAGCACAGCUCAGGGAUCAAUUCCACAGGCCCCUCCCAAGCAGUCCCUGCUCCCUGCCUGGUCCCCAGGCUCAAGUCUCACCUCCCUUCCUGAGCCCAAGUAUGGCCCAAACCAUAGACAGAGCAGGGACAGAGGUGGGGAGGUGUCAGAAAAGACACCUCCCACCCAGGGCCCCGCUGCAGCUUCUGCUUGGGGCUCCUGGCAGGAGAGGAGGAGGCCAGGGGAGACGAGCAUAGAGAGGCAGCCCCGUGACCGCCGUGGGGACACCUGGCACCAGGGCUCCCACAAGGGGGCAGCGGGGCCCCUGCUCUUGGCUCAGACCUUCUGGGCCUCCCCAGGGAACCCAGCCUUCUGGCUGCCUCCCUCUGCUCCCAAGGCCUGGGUGAGAUGGAGAUCCCUCUCCACCCUGGCCACUGCUCCCCUCUCAGGUCCAGUCACCAAAGGGCAAUAGAGGGAGCAAUGGGGUAAUUGGAGAAGAGCUGCCAUAGAGCAGGUGCUCCAGACACUAAGGGACCCAGAACCUGCACAAAGGAGGAGCUUUCUAAAGAGACAAGGAAGGCAGAAGAAUCAAUAGAUGAGGGACUGAGCCAACAGAUGGACAGCAGGCAGACAGGUGGAUGGAUCAUAGGAUAUAUAACAGAUGGGAAGAUGGGCAGACAGGUGGAUGGAUGGAUGGUCGGGUGGAUGGAUGGAUGGAUGGAUGGAUGGACGGGUGGAUGGAUAGACAGAGGGAAGGAUGGAUAGAUGGAUGGAUGGUUGGAUAGAUGGAUGGAUGAACAGGUGGAUGGAUGGACAGAUGGAAGGAUGGACGGAUGGAUGGACGGAUGGAUGGAUGGAUGGGUGGGUGGGUGGGUGGGUGGAUGGAUGGAUGGGUGGGUGGGUGGAUGGGUGGAUGGAUGGAUGGGUGGGUGGAUGGGUAGACAGAUGGAUGGACUGAUGGACGGAUGGAAGGAUAGAUGGAGGGAUGGAUGGAUGGGCAAAUGGAUGAAUGAUUGGAUGUGUCAGCAUAUGACAAGCAGGUCCAAAUCCCACUGUAACAUGGGAGGUCUAUGCCCUGGGACCCUGAGGACAGCAGGACUGCCUGUGCUGGUGGCCUUCACCUGGGCCUCCCUUAUACUCCUUGUAGCUUAUCAGCUACAUUCCCUGGGAGAGAAGAGAGGACCCUGGUCAUGCCCAUCCAGCAUUUGGCACACUGAAUCACAGACCCAGAUCUAUGGCCCAACUCAGAGCAACCAUGGGUAUGGGCAUAUCUGUUCCUCUCUGGCCCCACUCAGGGCCCAGGCCAAGGCCAGCCAAAGAGCAAGGGCUUGCUGAGAAUACAGAUAGGGCUGGGGAUCCAGGAGGCCUUGGGCUUGAGCUCUCUUUGGAGUAGCAAAGACAGUGCCCACCCUUCUGCCCUGCCAGGUAUCUCCCCAGAAGUUGCCCUGAGACCCUCAGAAACAGGGGUUCUGUGGGCAUCUCAAGAGCUGCAAAGGUUGCAGCCACCUCGCCCUCCCUGAGGAAGCCUCAGACCUGAGAUAGGGCACCCCUACUGCCUCUGUCCUGACCCCAAGUGUGCUGAGAGGGGAGAGCAUUGGCUUGGCCCCCACCCAUGCAGGCGCAGGCCUGACAGGCUCUCAGUGUCUUGCAGGUUACCGGGAGCCACCUCCCUGGGUGGUGCUGGACCCGCCACAGGAGGACCUGGAGGAGGACACCCCAGGAGCCAGCCUGUGGCCCACCACAGUCACCCUGCUCACUCUCUUCCUGCUGAGCCUCUUCUACAGCACGGCACUGACCGUGACCAGCAUCCGGGCCCCACCUGGUGGCAAAGAGGGCCCCCAGUACUGAGAAGGAGCCAGCCAAGCAAAGGGAGGAGCCUGGAGGAGCCCCCUGGAAGCCAAGCUGGAUGCCAGAGCUCAGCCCUGCUUGGAAGCCACCCGACUCUCCCACACAGGCCUUCCUGGUGCAAUAAACUGAUCCCCAAGGAA